GCCCAGUUGCUCUGCACAAGCUGAUAAAAGCACCAUGGAUUUAAUGGGUCAGAUUUACCUCGGCAGAGCAGAACAACUUCCAGAAUAUUGUGGCUAGAUUUUGUCCUACAUUUUAAAGGGCAAAAAUGAGCCAUGAGAGUUUUCCUUUCAGUCACACUGUACAGAAGCACCUGAGACAUUCAGAUUCUUCUGGGAUUUAAUGAGCACACAUAACCCGUGCUGACUUGCACUGUCCGUGAGCCGAAGCCGUGGUGUUGUUUCCACCACACCUCUUGUCCAGAGAGAGCUGCUUAUUGUUUUGGGAGGGUGCUGAUAAGCAAAAGCAGAUCCAGUCAAAGCAAGAUGCCCAGGGACUUGUGGAGUUUUUAACCUCUCCAAGGGUGGAAAGCUGCCAGCCUUUCUGGGCUCUGGUGUAUGACCACCUCUAUGUUCUACCACAAAGCACUUGGUGAAGGAAUUAUGAAGCCUAUAGGAAAGCCAGGCUCUGGGAAAUGACUGUCUCCUCAUGUCUUGGUCCAGCUCUGCUGACCAGCUCAGCCUCUCUGAUGAAUAAGUUUCUGGAAUGUUUGGAGGAACAGUUCCUCUUCCAGCUGUAAAGCCCAACAUUUUGUGCUAGGCCAAUCUAGGAAGCCCAAAGUUUGCCACAUAACUUGAAUGCAAAAUAUGAACAGAGCACUUGCAAAGAAAAAAAGAAGGGGUGGCCAGGAGCUGCACUCAAAAAGAGACUGCAGAGUAAUCUGAAAUGACCAGAGGAUCCAUCCAGGGAUGGAAGUGCUCUGAAGAAUAUACACCUGGCAAAGUAAUGACCUGACAGAUUUGAAAGAUUUGCAGCCCGAGGUGUAAAGAGCCAAGUGUGAUUGUGGAGGUCAUUGCAGCCUGGGAUGCCUCAGCCUUAAAUGGGAUCAUCCAGCUUGGAAUGGGGCUGUGUAUUCCUCCUCCUCAUAGCUGCUAACAUAUGGGAAAAGCAGCUUUGAAGAUGCCCUCCUCUGGAUCCCAGGCAGGAGAUUUCCAGCACUGCUGCCCAGGUUCUGUGCAUGGGCAGAUGUUCUGCUGAUCCAGCUUACCCUUCCUGUCCACCCCAGCCACUUCACUCAUGCCCUAAAACCUGCAGCUGGAAGGAGGUUCUGCCAAAAGAGAUGGCAAAUCCGAGGAAGUGGAAGAGAAGAGGGAUGGUGGCACAAUCUCUGGAGGAAUGUGACAGGUCACAAACUCCCAGCUGGAAGUAGCCAUGGCCUGGGCUGUGCAUCCAACUGUGCUCUUGCACGUGCUCAGCCAUAUGCUGGUCCCACUCACUGGUGAUCCCAUCUCAGCUGGGAAUACACUUUUGGAGCAGCACUCCAAGCUGGGAGCCUGAAAGCUGAAGUGGCCAUCUUGACUAUAUUGUAACUUGGGAAUAAGGGAGUAGGAAAAUUGCCUCAAAAUUGCGUGCAACAUUCCUUCUCUUGUAUGUAUGCUGAAAGGCUCGACUUUGUGAGCAAUCCCAUCUAUUUCAGUGGAAAUUCUUCCAGAAUAAGUUUUGGCUGAGAUUAGAAAAAAUGAUGGCAUCUUUUCCUAAAUUAUUCUCUUUUGCCAGAGUUGAAUUUUUACAGCUAAGACCUUUGGAAUUUAAGAAAUCUGAUAAAUGGUUUUCUCAAGUCUUUCUAAUCUCAAUCACAGCGGUAAAGGUGAAUGGUUCUAAUGGUAUAAUAAUCUUGUAUUCAUGCCUUCUUUCAAAUGAUUGCUUUGCACAGGAUGGAAAACACUAAUAAUAAUAAUAAUAAUAAUAAUAAUAAUAACAACAACAACAUUCAUGAUAUGAAUAAUUGAUGUAAUAUCUAUUUUCUUGGAAUUAGCACCUGUCAGAUAGUAUGGUUUGAUUACUUUGCUUGACCUCUCAGAGAGACACAAAAUUUCCAACUUGCUAAUUUUUUUAAAGAUCUGCCAAUAUGAAAACAAGUGAUCUUAGUAAAUUGUUUCGCCUGGAAGGUGACCGCCAUGUUUAUGAUAUUAAAAUGAGUUCUUUCUACCUGCUAUAGACAUAUAAUUACAUAAACAUCUCCCUAUUAACUUAGAUGGAUUCUUUACAUUUUAAACUCUGGAAAUUCUAGGUGGAAAAGAGGGAUGAACCAGAGAAUUAAUCCUAUAUUCCAGCUGAUCAGUGUUUCCUCACAUGUAUCUGUUUCACAAAAAGACAUGUUUAGCCUUAGCUGGGCUCAGGUCUCACUGGGUUUAAACAUGCACUGGUUAAGGAUGCUUUCUUACAUGCUAUUGCACUGAAAUGCACUUGAUUUGCCAGCUACAUCCCUCCUUUGCACAGAGGUGAUUUCUGCAGGCAUCUGUAAAGGCAAGGGAAGCUGAGGUCUUUAGAGCAGCCCCUACCUCCAGAAUGGAUUUAGAUAUCUGUGGUACAAAGUGCAGUCUUCUUCCAGUGCCGAAGCUUUUUCCUAUCAAAAUUAACUUAAUCUAGCAUAAAGGGACUGCAGGCUUCUUUCAUAGUCUAUGUGAAAAUAAUAAAUUACUUAUUAGGGUAUUUUUGCACUGUCCCUUUUUCCCCCUGUCUUUACCAUCUGACCAUUCUCUCUAAAACCAAGGCUGCACAAAUGCAGGAGAAGUUGCUUUAUUUUGAAGGGGGAGAAUCAAAGGUGUCGAGAGUGGCUGGGCCAUUUUCCUGUCGGUCUCCUGCAUUUAGACUCCUUUCAGCUUGGUUUUUGGUGACAAACUGCACAGCUGCAAUGCCUUACAUUUACCAGCCUGCAUAUAUGAAGGAUGUGUAAUGUUAACUAAGCUCUUUCCCCUCCCUCAUGGAAGACCACCCUGCCUGCAAAAUCUCCAGAGGAAAGCACGGCAUGUCCUGAUCAGAAACUGCCUUUGCUGGCAGAAGUACAGUAUGUUGCAUUAACCAAAACAGCAUUUUUAAAAACAUUUUUCAUGGUGGCUGCUUUCUAUUUAAAUAUCCAUUUUGCUUGUGUAAACGGAUCUCAUUUGGCCUUUACAUCCCAACAUCUCAGGACUAUCUGAAAACCUUGUUAACAUUUAGCAUUGGAAAUCAUUUCAAGCCUUGCACAAAAUCCUCAAAACCUGAUCUGCUCAGGGCAGGAAAAGGUCUGGAUUCUCCUUUGCAGUUCUCUAGACAGCAAUUUUUUCUGGGACAACCUUUCUGGUGAUGCCAGUUUUCCCUAAUCUCUCCUUACCACUGAGAGGGCAGUUUUUUAUUGGGUGGGAGCUGUUGUUAAGCAAAAGUCACUUUCAAAACUUGCUUUGCUUCUCUUACAUUGGUUUGUCAGUGCCUUCACUUGUUGCUGUAUAUUUCCCAACUGUGAAUUUAUCACUUGUCUCCUAAACAGCAGGUAAUACAGCCCCAAAUUUCUCCCCAAAUUUCAGCCCCAAAUUUCUCCCCAAAACCUGCAUUUACCAUGGCAAUGAAUGACAUUGUGCUGGACACAGUCACUCACUGGCUGUGAAUACAACUGUGACAAGAUCCUUUGGUCUCUAAUUGGACACUGAAAGGGGAGACCUGGGCUAAUUGAGUCCAGAGGAGUCACUUUUCAUUUGGGCACAGCUGCAUUUAGAACCUGGCCCUGGGAAACUCAUAUUGACACCACCAGCAUAUCUGAGAAUAUAACAAACAUACCUGAACAGUAUCCUUCUUGUUCCUGCUAAAAUCAUGGAUAUGAGGCUUCUUGCUUCAACUGUUCCUCUAUAUACAUGUCAGCACAGCAUAAAAUACACUGUCUAGACGGGCUACUUGAACUUGCAAGGUGCAAGAUUUGUAGAACUAAAACCCUUCUCUCUUCAACGCCAUUUCAGCGGUGUAAUUUCACUCAAAACAAAUAAAACAAACCCUGGUUUACCUCUGAAUAACCUCAGGGACGCUUGGCUAAUCUCAGGGUGUUGGGUUGAAUCCUAUGUUAGGAAACUAAAACUUGAAUUGGUGUUUUCUGACAAGCGAUUUACUCAUCAGAAAGGUCUGGGCUGUAGUGACAGUGGUGACAAUGAGCUGCUUCUUUGCUGUGUCCCAGUUUUCUCAAGUGUGUGAUGGUUGUAAUUAAGUUAAUUUACCUGUCGUGGAUACUGUGACGAGUAAAUUGCAGGAGGGCUCAUGAAGGGGUAUUGUAUGUGUGGUUCUAGAUGUGAA